GUGCUUGCUUUGGCAGUACUUAAGCUAAAAUUCUGAACAAUACAGAGAUUAGCAUAGCCCUUACACAAGGAUGUCACCAAAUUCAUGAAGCUUUCCAUAUUAAA
ensembl:snRNA U6 U6 spliceosomal RNA